rnacentral:rRNA from 1 species
UACGUAGGGGGCAAGCGUUGUCCGGAAUCAUUGGGCGUAAAGCGCGCGUAGGCGGCCCGAUAAGUCCGCUGUGAAAGUCCAGGGCUCAACCCUGGAAAGCCGGUGGAUACUGUCGGGCUAGAGUCCGGAAGAGGAGAAUGGAAUUCCUGGUGUAGCGGUGAAAUGCGCAGAUAUCAGGAAGAACACCCGUGGCGAAGGCGGUUCUCUGGGACGGUACUGACGCUGAGACGCGAAAGCGUGGGGAGCGAACAGG